rnacentral:rRNA from 1 species
AUUGAACGCUGGCGGCAGGCCUAACACAUGCAAGUCGAACGAGUGGCGGACGGGUGAGUAAUGUCUGGGAAACUGCCCGAUGGAGGGGGAUAACUACUGGAAACGGUAGCUAAUACCGCAUACCAUCGGAUGUGCCCAGAUGGGAUUAGCUAGUAGGUGGGGUAACGGCUCACCUGGGCGACGAUCCCUAGCGGGUCUGCGAGGAUGACCAGCAACACUGGACCUGAGAAACGGUCCAGACUCCUACGGGAGGCAGCGGGGGGGAAUAUUGCACAAGGGGCGCAAGCCUGAUGCAGCCAUGCCGCUGGGAUGAAGAAGGCCUUGGGGGUGUAAAGUACUUUCAGCGAGGAGGCGUUACUCGCAGAAGAGGCACCGGUUAACUCCGUGCCAGCAGCGCGGUAAUAC